AUGGAUGACGUGGUGGAGGAAGACGAAGAAGAGAAGAGUGGUGGUGAGGAGAGGAAGAGCGUUGCUUUGGGAUCAGGGAGGGAGAAGGCGGCAGUAAAUGGGGAUGGUGACGGUGAUGGCAUCCUCUCCCUUGUCCUCACCCUUCUGGGACUGCCAUUUCCGGCGUGGCCAACUGACGCCACUCCAUUAUUGCGCUUGCUGCCCCCGUCCCUCACCCUCAGCUUCGACAUGCAGUACAGGCCCUCCACAGUUCACACACAAACGCAAAACAGAGUGACCCAGAGAAAUAUGCACAAUCAGCCAUGA
rnacentral:rRNA from 1 species